GAUGAACGCUGGCGGCGUGCCUAAUACAUGCAAGUCGAGCGAACAGACGAGGAGCUUGCUCCUCUGACGUUAGCGGCGGACGGGUGAGUAACACGUGGAUAACCUACCUAUAAGACUGGGAUAACUUCGGGAAACCGGAGCUAAUACCGGAUAAUAUAUUGAACCGCAUGGUUCAAUAGUGAAAGACGGUUUUGCUGUCACUUAUAGAUGGAUCCGCGCCGCAUUAGCUAGUUGGUAAGGUAACGGCUUACCAAGGCAACGAUGCGUAGCCGACCUGAGAGGGUGAUCGGCCACACUGGAACUGAGACACGGGCCAGACUCCUACGGGAGGCAGCAGUAGGGAAUCUUCCGCAAUGGGCGAAAGCUUGACGGAGCAACGCCGCGUGAGUGAUGAAGGUCGUCGGAUCGUAAAACUCUGUUAUUAGGGAAGAACAAAUGUGUAAGUAACUAUGCACGUCUUGACGGUACCUAAUCAGAAAGCCACGGCUAACUACGU
rnacentral:rRNA from 1 species